GGUGACGCUGGCGGUAGGCCUAACCAUGCAAGUCGAACGGCAGCACAGGAGAGCUUGCUCUCUGGGUGGCGAGUGGCGGACGGGUGAGGAAUGCAUCGGAAUCUACUCUGUCGUGGGGGAUAACGUNAGGGAAACUUACGCUAAUACCGCAUACGACCUACGGGUGAAAGCAGGGGACCUUCGGGCCUUGCGCGAUUGAAUGAGCCGAUGCCCGAUUAGCUAGUUGGCGGGGUAAGAGCCCACCAAGGCGACGAUCGGUAGCUGGUCUGAGAGGAUGAUCAGCGCACACUGGAACUGAGACACGGUCCAGACUCCUACGGGAGGCAGCAGUGGGGAAUAUUGGACAAUGGGCGCAAGCCUGAUCCAGCCAUACCGCGUGGGUGAAGAAGGCCUUCGGGUUGUAAAGCCCUUUUGUUGGGAAAGAAAAGCAGCCGGUUAAUACCGCGGUUGUUCUGACGGUACCCAAAGAAUAAGCACCGGCUAACUUCGUGCCAGCAGCCGGG
rnacentral:rRNA from 2 species